UACAGAGGUCCCAAGCGUUGCUCGGAAUCACUGGGCGUAAAGGGUGCGUAGGCGGGUCUUUAAGUCAGGGGUGAAAUCCUGGAGCUCAACUCCAGAACUGCCUUUGAUACUGAAGAUCUUGAGUCCGGGAGAGGUGAGUGGAACUGGCGAGUGUAGAGGUGAAAUUCGUAGAUAUUCGCAAGAACACCAGUGGCGAAGGCGGCUCACUGGCCCGGUACUGACGCUGAGGCACGAAAGCGUGGGGAG
rnacentral:rRNA from 1 species